GAUGAACGCUGGCGGCGUGCCUAAUACAUGCAAGUCGAGCGAACGGACGAGAAGCUUGCUUCUCUGAUGUUAGCGGCGGACGGGUGAGUAACACGUGGAUAACCUACCUAUAAGACCGGGAUAACUUCGGGAAACCGGAGCUAAUACCGGAUGAUAUUUUGAACCGCAUGGUUCAAAAGUGAAAGACGGUCUUGCUGUCACUUAUAGAUGGAUCCGCGCUGCAUUAGCUAGUUGGUAAGGUAACGGCUUACCAAGGCAACGAUGCAUAGCCGACCUGAGAGGGUGAUCGGCCACACUGGAACUGAGACGCGGUCCAGACUCCUACGGGAGGCAGCAGUAGGGAAUCUUCCGCAAUGGGCGAAAGCCUGACGGAGCAACGCCGCGUGAGUGAUGAAGGUCUUCGGAUCGUAAAACUCUGUUAUUAGGGAAGAACAUAUGUGUAAGUAACUGUGCACAUCUUGACGGUACCUAAUCAGAAAGCCACGGCUAACUACGUG
rnacentral:rRNA from 1 species